GACGACGCUGGCGGCGUGCCUAAUACAUGCAAGUAGAACGAGUUGCGAACGGGUGAGUAACGCGUGGUAACCUGCCUCAUAGCGGGGGAUAACUACUGGAAACGGUAGCUAAUACCGCAUACCAUCAGAUGUGCCCAGUUGGGAUUAGCUAGUAGGUGGGGUAAUGACUCACCUAGGCGACGAUCCCUAGCUGGUCUGAUAGGAUGACCAGCCACACUGUAACGGGGACACGGGCCAGACUCCUACGGGAGGAAGCAGUGGGGAAUAUGGCACAAGGGGCGCAAGCCUGAUACAGCCAUGCCGCGUGUGUGAAGAAGGCCUUCGGGUUGUAAAGCACUUUCAGCGAGGAGGCGUUACUCGCAGAAGAAGCACCGGCUAACUCCGUGCCAGCAGCCGCGGUAAUAC
rnacentral:rRNA from 1 species